rnacentral:rRNA from 1 species
UACCAGCACCCCGAGUGGUCGGGACGAUUAUUGGGCCUAAAGCAUCCGUAGCCGGUUUUACAAGUCCUCCGUUAAAUCCAGCUGCUUAACAGAUGGCUGCGGAGGAUACUAUAAGACUAGGAGGCAGGAGAGGCAAGCGGUACUCAGUGGGUAGGGGUAAAAUCCGUUGAUCCAUUGAAGACCACCAGUGGCGAAGGCGGCUUGCCAGAAUGCGCUCGACGGUGAGGGAUGAAAGCUGGGGGAGCAACCGG